rnacentral:misc_RNA from 1 species
GAUGAAGAACGCAGCGAAAUGCGAUACGUAAUGUGAAUUGCAGAAUUCAGUGAAUCAUCGAGUCUUUGAACGCACAUUGCGCCCCCUGGUAUUCCGGGGGGCAUGCCUGUCCGAGCGUCAUUGCUGCCCUCAAGCACAGCUUGUGUGUUGGGCCUCCGUCCUCCUCCCGGGGGACGGGCCCGAAAGGCAGCGGCGGCACCGCGUCCGGUCCUCGAGCGUAUGGGGCUUCGUCACCCGCUCUUGUAGGCCCGGCCGGCGCUUGCCGACACAUCAAUCUUUUUUCCAGGUUGACCUCGGAUCAGGUAGGGAUACCCGCUGAACUUAAGCAUAUCAAUAAGCGGAGGA